GAUGAAGAACGCAGCGAAAUGCGAUAAGUAAUGUGAAUUGCAGAAUUCAGUGAAUCAUCGAAUCUUUGAACGCACAUUGCGCCCGCCAGUAUUCUGGCGGGCAUGCCUGUUCGAGCGUCAUUUCAACCAUCAAGCCCCCGGCUUGUGUUGGGGACCUGCGGCUGCCGCAGGCCCUGAAAACCAGUGGCGGGCUCGCUAGUCACUCCGAGCGUAGUAAUACAUCUCGCUCAGGGCGUGCUGCGGGUUCCGGCCGUUAAAAGCCUUAUUUUACCCAAGGUUGACCUCGGAUCAGGUAGGAAGACCCGCUGAACUUAAGCAUAUCAAAAAGCGGAGGA
rnacentral:misc_RNA from 1 species